rnacentral:rRNA from 1 species
GCCUACGGGACGCAGCAGUGAGGAAUAUUGGUCAAUGGGCGGGAGCCUGAACCAGCCAAGUCGCGUGAGGGAAGACGGUCCUAUGGAUUGUAAACCUCUUUAGGCGGGGAGCAAUGCCGGGCACGCGUGUCCGGAGGGAGAGUACCCGCAGAAUAAGCACCGGCUAACUACGUGCCAGCAGCCGCGGUAAUACGUAGGGUGCAAGCGUUAUCCGGAUUUACUGGGUGUAAAGGGCGAGUAGACGGCGUUGCAAGUCAGAUGUGAAAGGCUAGGGCUCAACCUUAGGAGAGCAUCUGAAACUGUAA